AGCUAAAUAACUGAGAGGAUACACAUUUGCUGACUUGCAAACUCAUAGUCUUUCUAUAACACAUUGAAUUUGGAAGAUUUAAAACCUGUCUUUUUCAAUCUGAAUAAAGAUGAGCGAUUUCAGUCUAAGUUUCACUUUUUAUCCCUUUGAGCAACAUUACCCUGAAAGCGGAUCCUUGGUGUUUUCUCCUUUGGUGGAAUGCUUUCUCUUUCUUUGACUGAUUGUUUGCCCUAAAUUUUAGAAAAUCCCACAUGCUUCAGAAAUGGAAGAGUGAGGUGAAAUCAUCCCUAGGAAAUAAGACAGCAGUCAGAAUUGUAUGGUUAAGUUAAUCUUAACAAUGAAAGAAUUACUAAAACUUUUCUUCAGAAAAUCAGCAAGAAACAUUUCAGUAACCAUGAUAUUCUGUUCUAGAAUAUUUCUACCUCAUUUUUCUUCUGUGUUUUGAUUUUGAUGGGAUAGCCUAAGUUUCUAAGUUAUUUUUUGAGAUUUUGGAUUUAAUACAGAAGCAGAAAUUUGUCACAGUAAGGGAGGAGGCCACCCCUCAUAUCGUCUUAUGCCCAAUUUCUGCCUCCAAAGAAAGAAGUAAAAACUAAAAGGCAGAAAUGAAAUCCACAGGCAGACAGCCUGGCGCCGCACCCUGGGCCUGGUAGUUAAAGAUCGACCCCUGACCUAAUCGGUUAUGUUAUCUAUAGAUUACAGACAUUGUAUAGAAAUGCACUGUGAAAACCCCUGUCCUGUUUUGUUCUGAUCUAAUUACCUGUGCAUGCAGCCCCCAGUCACGUACCCCCGCUUGCUGAAUCAAUCACGACCCUCUCACACGCACCCCCUUAGAGUUGUGAACCCUUAAAAGGGACAGGAAUUGCUCACUCAGGGAGCUCGGCUCUUGAGACAGGAGUCUUGCUGAUGCCCCCGGCCGA
rnacentral:lncRNA from 1 species